rnacentral:ncRNA from 1 species
GGUCAAGCGAACAAGUGCAUGUGGUGGAUGCCUUGGCGAUCACAGGCGAUGAAGGACGCGGUAGCCUGCGAAAAGCUACGGGGAGCUGGCAAACGAGCUUUGAUCCGUAGAUGUCCGAAUGGGGAAACCCACUCCGAAUGGAGUAUCCAUGACUGAAUCCAUAGGUCAUGUGAAGCGAACGCGGGCGAACUGAAACAUCUAA